AGAGUUUGAUCCUGGCUCAGGAUGAACGCUGGCGGCGUGCCUAACACAUGCAAGUCGAACGGUUAAGGCGGCUUCGGCCGCGGAUAAAGUGGCGAACGGGUGAGUAACGCGUGACCGACCUUCCCCCCGCACCGGGACAACCGCGGGAAACCGCGGCUGAUACCGGGUACUCCGGGGCCCCCGCAUGGGGGCCCCGGGAAAGCUCCGGCGGCGGGGGAUGGGGUCGCGUCCCAUCAGGUAGUAGGCGGGGCAACGGCCCACCUAGCCGACGACGGGUAGCCGGGUUGAGAGACCGACCGGCCACAUUGGGACUGAGAUACGGCCCAGACUCCUACGGGAGGCAGCAGUGGGGAAUUUUGCGCAAUGGGGGCAACCCUGACGCAGCAACGCCGCGUGCGGGACGACGGCCUUCGGGUUGUAAACCGCUUUCAGCAGGGAAGAACCUCUGACGGUACCUGCAGAAGAAGCCCCGGCUAACUACGUGCCAGCAGCCGCGGUAAUACGUAGGGGGCGAGCGUUAUCCGGAAUGAUUGGGCGUAAAGCGCGCGCAGGCGGCCGCUCAAGCGGGACCUCUAACCCCGGGGCUCAACCCCGGGCCGGGUCCCGAACUGGGCGGCUCGAGUGCGGUAGGGGAGAGCGGAAUUCCAAGUGUAGCGGUGAAAUGCGCAGAUAUUUGGAAGAACACCGAUGGCGAAGGCAGCUCUCUGGGCCGUCACUGACGCUGAGGCGCGAAAGCCGGGGGAGCGAACAGGAUUAGAUACCCUGGUAGUCCCGGCCGUAAACGAUGGGCGCUAGGUGUGGGGGGACAUUCCCUCCGUGCCGCAGCCAACGCAUUAAGCGCCCCGCCUGGGGAGUACGGCGGCAACGCUAAAACUCAAAGGAAUUGACGGGGGCCCGCACAAGCAGCGGAGCAUGUGGCUUAAUUCGAAGCAACGCGAAGAACCUUACCAGGGCUUGACAUCCGGGUGAAGCGGCGGAGACGCCGUGGCCGAGAGGAGCCCGGACAGGUGGUGCAUGGCUGUCGUCAGCUCGUGCCGUGAGGUGUUGGGUUAAGUCCCGCAACGAGCGCAACCCCCGUCGCGUGUUGCCAGCAACUCGGUUGGGCACUCGCGCGAGACUGCCGGCGUCAAGCCGGAGGAAGGUGGGGACGACGUCAAGUCAUCAUGCCCCUUAUGCCCUGGGCUGCACACGUGCUACAAUGGCC
rnacentral:rRNA from 1 species